CCUGCAGACUUGCAAUUUCAAUUAUCAGCUGUUUUUCUCAUUGAGCAGUAAUGAUCUCUUGAUACCAAUGCCCAAGACAGCAGAGAAAACUCAAGAGUCGCUGCCAGUGAGAAGGCAGGGAAUGAAGACACAGAGUUCUGCACACCUAAUUUAAGGAUAUGAAGUUGUCUGGCAUCUUGUUGGGAUGCUGUUUGCGACAGUCAGUCCCUCUGCCUGGAUCAGUGCUCAUGAGGAGGAGGGUGUGCCUGACGGAAAGACAACUGUCCUACAUCUCACCCACUGACUUUUACAUCACGUGCAGAAGAGUAGCUCCCGACAUGACUGCCUUACAAUACGCUGGAUAUCACCUCUCAGGGAUGCAAAGCUCUGCAAACAGAAGCAGAUGGCUCCUUCUAGCUGAGCUACUAUCAGCUUGCUGUUCUUUCUCAGCAUUGCCUCAGUUUCAGUCUCCAGAAAGCAUUUACAGAACAUACUGCCACAGAGGAGGAAGAAAGUCUGAUUAUAAUGAAAGCAACAUUCCUUGUCUUACACGCAGCAGUGACGUGUUUCCAGAGAGGCUCCACAAACGUUCCAGCUGUUUCCUGCUACUGACUGGUGCCCAUCAGGGACGUACCUGGAGCCCAACCAUCCUCUCUGGCAUUUUGAAACGGCGAGAACAAAGUCGUCACACAUCAUCUACCUCCCUCAGCAGCAAAAACAAGGGAACAUGCUGUUCAGGCAAGCUGUUGAAUCUGCGUGCGUGACCCUUUCUGAAGAAUUAUUCCUUCUUUUUCUGUUGGAAGAACAUCUCCACACACUUCACUUCAAUGACUAACAAGUCCCUGCCCAUGUGCUCUGAAAUGAGCAUUUCCCAGUUGCUGCCACGGUAAAAUUGGCAGCGGUGUAAAAAAGAAAUAAAACUCCCAAACACCUCAUGUUGCUAUGAGUAGCAGACAGAGACCGUAAGAUGGCACACUGCACAGCUGCCAGGCUGCUGGAGGCACGCAGAAACAGGCAGGAUGUUCCUCCUCCUGAGAACUGCAGUUAAAUCACUGGCACAAAUUAACCAUACUCAGAGACUCAAAAUAAGAGAUUCACUUAAAUGUAUUUAUCUAAUUUUAUUUGGCUUCGUUUUCCAUCUCAGGCUGUUUUGCAGGAUGUAAGAGGAUUUAAUCCCCCAGGAAGACUGGAGGAUGGAUACGGAAGCAAACUAGAAAGUGCAGAACACAAAACAUUCAUCUUCAAACCAUAAGGACCCUCUUAUAAGUUUGAGAAGGUGAAAAACUACCAUCAGAGUAAUUUCCAAAGGGCAUAUUUUGAUGCUGAGUAUGUUCAAACUCUCUGCAAUGACUGCUGGCAUUCCUGCUGAUGAUUCCCAGGUAGGGCAGUCCUAGGGAGUUACCUGCGUGUCCAUGAAGAGGGGAAUGUGGCCGCGGGAGAGUCGGAGAUGUGCUGGAUGUUACAAUCAGACUCUUCCUGUUGCUCGUCCGACAGCUGAAAGAAACAAAGAUAAACCAUUAGGCACGGCCAGAUGGACAACAGCACCUUGAGGCAGGUCCUGCAGAAUCUCUUUCUGCUAAGGAGGAAUCUCUCAGUAUUUAGGGUGGGAUUUUCUUACACUCUUGACCUCAGUAGCGAUCCUGCAAAGAAGAAAAUGUACCGGGACGAAAGGUUCUUGGUCAGCUGCAAGUGUUUCAACACUGGAAGCAUUUGUUGCACAGGCAGCUGGAGAUAGCUGGUAACUCAUUCCUGGUCCACAGAGUAUGUGCAACACAUGCUUUACAACUCACACAAAAAGCAAACAAUAAUGUAAAAUACCCCAGAGUGCUUUGGAUGCUCUUACCAAUAUCCCACCUAGCAAAUAAAUCCGUUAUGAUUAUUGGCUUGGUUAUAAGAAACCACAGCAUAUUCCUCAGGGCAGAGUUAAAAUUACAGAGCAAAGUGUUAGCACAACUCAGCAGAUGAGUGGGAUUACUAAUCAAACUUAAAACCUGGGAUCUAAAAUUCCUUGUGAACACAUGUGGCAGUAACACUGGAAAACCCUGCAAAGCAAGUUUCAGACAUGCCUCCACCAGAUCAACUCCACUGGCUGCCAUGACUUUGUCCCAGCAAGGAAAGUGACACUGCUUAUGGGACAGUUCAGAUUUAUUUUUUCCCUGUUGGGAGUUUCAGAACUGAGCCUGAAAUGAAGAAAGGAUGUGUUCCUCCAUUCGCUUCCCAGCUUGCGACUGCUGGUAGCAAACAUUUAGCUCUAAACAUGAUAAGAGGAACUUCAGUGGGUGUGGGAAACAUUUUUAAAUCAUGGGAGCUGUGAAGAAGAGCAGCUAGAUAGCGAAAUCCCUUUGUGACUGCCACUUCUCCUGCUGUUUAAACGGAAGAAAUGAAGUUGUUAACAAAAUCUUACAACUGACCAAGCACUACAGCUACAUACAUCUAUUCCUUGUACCUCCAGCUUGCUUCCUACACGGCAGACACAUUCCUGCCUACUUCAGCAGUUCCCAAAACAGGUAACUAGAAUCCCAUUGGUGUUGAUAGGGCUGGGAGAACAGCCAGGAGCAGGGAAAGCUCAGCAGAGGCUGAGGAAGGAGCUCGCUGGCCCCGCUCCAGGGGUGCCCUGUGAAGCUCCAGACAGGGUUGCCCAGGCACAGGCAAAGCUCCUUUGCUUGCAGACCCCAAACGCUGAUGCCUGCCAGGUCCUUCGUGCACUGACUGGUCUGCUGGAGCUGCCCAACAAUCAACACACUCGGGCUGCCAAGAACUACGAUCUAAUGCAAAAGUACUUUGCUGCCACAGGAUA